rnacentral:rRNA from 1 species
CCCUUAGAUGUUCUCGGCCGCACACGCGCUACACUGAAAGAGGCAACGUGUUUGCCUGAUUCGAAAGAAUUGGGUAACCCCCUAAUCUCUUUCGUGCUGGGGAUUGAGGUUUGCAAUUAUCCUUCAUGAACGAGGAAUUCCCAGUAAGUGCGAGUCAUUAUCUCGCGCUGACUACGUCCCUGCCCUUUGUACACACCGCCCGUCGCUACUACCGAUUGGAUGAUCCGGUGAGCUAUUCGGACCUUCGCUUCGUCGAUUUUCGGCUUUGUGAGGGAAAGUCUCGCGAACCUCAUCAUCUAGAGGAAGGAGAAGUCGUAACA